rnacentral:misc_RNA from 1 species
ACAAGAAGUCUUGGGCAACAUGCUGGCAACAUCAUGGGAUCUAAAUCUGAAUAGUCUGAGCAGCCUCCAAUGACUCUUCCCACUACUUACACCAUUACUGACGCCCGAUGCUUCACCAGAACUUACUGCCGGGAUCAUGGGCGAUGGAAUCCGCCGAUUCUGCCUUUCCCUUAAAUCACUAAGCUCCAUUUUGCUUGGAAUCCUAGCCAAUCCAAUCAUAACCUUGUGCUUCCUGGAAUUAGCAGACGGGCAACGAAAAGUACCACUCUUUGAAGAAUGCUUGGAGGAUGAAUUUGAAGCCCUGUUUUUUGUUAGCAAUGACGAGGUUGAUGAUUUGAAAGGUGGGUUUCUUUGAUCGUCUUCUGUUCUGCAGGAAAUGACUUUCCCACAGAAGAUGAUAUUAUCAUCAACCGUAGAGUUUGUUUCUGAGGUGGAGAUAAAUUCAAAGAAGUCUUGGCUUGAAGGGGAGCUUGGAAUCUCAUUGCUGGGUUCAGUUUCAUGGUCACAGAGAUCAGAAAGGUCACAUAACGAGAGAGCAUCUUCAAAUUCUUCAAUGGUGUUUUCCAUUUCUGUGUAUGUUAAAA